rnacentral:rRNA from 1 species
CCUACGGGAGGCAGCAGUGGGGAAUAUUGCACAAUGGGCGAAAGCCUGAUGCAGCGACGCCGCGUGAGGGAUGACGGCCUUCGGGUUGUAAACCUCUUUCAGCAGGGAAGAAGCGAAAGUGACGGUACCUGCAGAAGAAGCGCCGGCUAACUACGUGCCAGCAGCCGCGGUAAUACGUAGGGCGCAAGCGUUGUCCGGAAUUAUUGGGCGUAAAGAGCUCGUAGGCGGCUUGUCACGUCGGGUGUGAAAGCCCGGGGCUUAACCCCGGGUCUGCAUUCGAUACGGGCUAGCUAGAGUGUGGUAGGGGAGAUCGGAAUUCCUGGUGUAGCGGUGAAAUGCGCAGAUAUCAGGAGGAACACCGGUGGCGAAGGCGGAUCUCUGGGCCAUUACUGACGCUGAGGAGCGAAAGCGUGGGGAGCGAACAGGAUUAGAUACCCUGGUAGUCCACGCCGUAAACGGUGGGAACUAGGUGUUGGCGACAUUCCACGUCGUCGGUGCCGCAGCUACGACAUUAACGUUACCCGUCCCGUCGGGAGGUACGGCCGGCGACGGACGUAAACCUACAAAGGAAGUUAGACGGCGUGAGACGUGCCGAACGGACGACGACGAGGGAGUAGG